rnacentral:rRNA from 1 species
UACGAAGGGUGCAAGCGUCACUCGGAAUUACUGGGCGUAAGGCGUGCGUAGGUGGUUUGUUAAGUCUGUUGUGAAAGCCCCGGGCUCGACCUGGGAAUGGCAAUGGAUACUGGCAAGCUAGAGUGCGGUAGAGGGUAGUGGAAUUCCCGGUGUAGCGGUGAAAUGCGUAGAGAUCGGGAGGAACACCAGUGGCGAAGGCGGCUACCUGGACCAGCACUGACACUGAGGCACGAAAGCGUGGGGAGCAAACAGG